rnacentral:rRNA from 1 species
UACAGAGGGGGCUAGCGUUGUUCGGAAUCAUUGGGCGUAAAGGGCGCGUAGGCGGCCUUCUAAGUCGAACGUGAAAUCCCUGGGCUCAACCCAGGAACUGCGUCCGAUACUGGUUGGCUUGAAUCCGGGAGAGGGAUGUGGAAUUCCAGGUGUAGCGGUGAAAUGCGUAGAUAUCUGGAGGAACACCGGUGGCGAAGGCGACAUCCUGGACCGGCAUUGACGCUGAGGCGCGAAAGCCAGGGGAGCAAACGGG